rnacentral:lncRNA from 1 species
GUCAAAAUUUCAGAAAAAAUACUCUUUGAUGUCCAAUUUUUGGUGUAACGUCGUGUUGUAUGAACAUCGUGCACAACGCCUUAGCGCAUUAAUAUCCUUUAUUUGCGAAAUAUAUGAGUGAGGUACGUAUGGGGUGUGAAAAUGAAAAUGAGACAGCAACCUGAUGACACGAACAGCGAAAAAACACGUUGAUACUGACAUACAAAUGUACGAUUAACAGGAC